CACUUGCACUGCGGGUGCUCUCUGGCCCCCACCCCAUCAUCGCGCAACACACCCCCUUCAACAUGCGCGGCCACCCUUUCAUUGCCCUGCGCCCCGAGCGGUCCCACCGCCCGGCAAAACACUGAGCAAGCCGCUGCUCUCACCUUGCUUGACACACUUGAGCCGGAGGGGGUCCUUGCAGUGUUUGAUCACGGCCAGCACGUCCCUGAUGGUGAGCCCCGCCACGGGGGUCUCGUUCACCUCCAGCAGCAGCUCCUCCGACACCAAUUUGCUGCCGCUCUCAUAGGCCACCUUGCCGGGCUUCACCUCCCCCAGUAAUGUCUUACAAUAACAGAAUGCAGGAGAGCACAUAUCAAUGAAGAAAAGACAAAAUGUACUUAUCCAUGAAGCUGAGGUUAAGAAACCAGUGUCUUCAAGAGCCAGGGACAGCACUGGGUCUGUGCAGAGUUGAGAGAUGGUGAUGACAUGUGGUUUCCAGCAUUCCUCACCCAGUCCAGGGACACUGUGGGUGUGCCCAGCUUAAGUCCAGUAACUGGAAAUACAAGCCCAAGUUCUGGAGAGUUUGAGCUGCAGAGAUAUAUAUGGGAACACUUUGAAUCUUGACUCAUUGGCCAUAACCAGCAGAGUGGAAAAUACAAGAAGAGAAAAAAACAUUGAACUGCGAUUUUAUAACAUCCUUUACUAGGCAGAGAGAAGAGGAAACACCAGGAAAGAAAACUGUAUUACGAUGUGAAAACUUAAUGUUGAGAAAUUCAGGCAUCUUGGGGUUAGUGAGGAGAAGUUUUAGGGGCUUAGAUUCUUCUAAACACAUGUACAGAAAUGCAUAUUUCAUCUGAUAUCAAAUGGCAUUUAUAGUGCUAAUCUUUACCUCAAGACUUCACAUCUUUUGGUGAUUGCAUCUUUUAGGUUUAUAGCAGCUAAGUUUGCAUGAAAACACCAGGGCUGUUUCAUUUCAGUCAAGAAUUAAUGUUCAUUGAUUGUGCUUCUGCAUUUCAUGUAACUAUUGUAGAAUUUGUUUUAGUUUUAUGAGGGAAUAAUUGUUCCAACUUCUAUAUAACUCAGGAAUUUACUCUCAAACAACACUGUCAAUUAGUUACUUAUCUCUCUGGAAAUGAUCUGGGAACAUGGAGAGGAAAGGGAGGAAGGGGCAAAAUCUGACCACUUAAAUCUAAGCAUAUUAGAUCAUUUUAUGCUAGAAAGUCCUGAAUGAUGUGACUUUCGUUCUUGUAAAACACCUCUUUCCAUAGAUUCAUGGCCCAAACAGUAUAUAAAGAGUGGGGAAGGAACUGCAUUUGCAAAUAGUUCAAAUCAUUGCUCCAUCUUAACUACGCAGUUCACAAAGUGUGAAGAAAUGUGAUCAUCUCAAAAAAGAUAAUGGGGAAAAAAUAUGUUUUGUUCUGUGACUUUAAAGUCUUGCAAUAUUUUACAUAAAUGAUAAUGGGUGCUUUAAUAAGAACUCUUGAUACUUUUGUUAUUGUAUUCAAUAUAUGCAUAUAAUACAACAGGAUGAUAUUGUUUUGGAUUUGGAAAUGUAUUCUUUCUUAUGCAAUCUUAUGCAGUCAUACUGCUUGAAUAUCAUUACCUGAAUUUAUCUUUCUUUUUUUUGUUGUUGUUUUACACUCUACUUAUUUGGUGCCUGUCAGUCUUUUGUCGUCAGUUUAUAUUCUACUAAACUCAAAAAGACAAUCUCAUACCUUUUGUAAUUGUAGGCAUUCUUUACUAGAUUUUUAAAUACACUUCAAAAAUUCAAGUACUUUGAUUUCAUGCCAUCAAGUAGCUGAAUCUAUCCCCCCGUCUCUUUUUAAAUUUAAGUGAGUAGUUCAAUUUCUGUCACUUUCUACUUUGUGAAUUCUAAAUCUUUUAAAACCAUCUUGCCAUUUUUCGUGCACUUACCCUUACAGAAAACUCUGUGAAACACUACUUAUCUCUACUUUUAUGUUUUUAACUCCUUUUUUAUAUUACUAUUCCCUCUGCUUUCUAAAUGCACAUAUUAAUUUGUUCUUUUUAUUCUCUGUAGCUCUUCUCAGUGUAUGAAUUCAGUUUCCCAUCAGUCUCCAUACAAUUAAAAAAAAGUUGAGUAUUCUGUUAUUUUAAUAAGAUAUCUAGUGCCCAUAUUCUAAUUCUGCCCCUUAUUUUUAAUAUAAUUUUAUUGUUGAUUUAAAAUGACAACAGUUUCAAUUCCCAGAAAGUGAAAGGAAACAAAGGAAUAAUAUUAUAGGCUUAAUUUUUAUCAGUGAACUUGUAGGUGAAGAAAAGAUUUGGGGAAGGAAAUGAACAUAUUAUAUUGCAAAAUAGUAAGGAACAAUCAGAUGUGUUUUCUAGUCUCUGGAAAAGCAUGUUUCAAGAAAUUCAAUGAAAAGUUCAUCAUGCUUGCUUAGAUUGUUGAGAAGCAAAAACACUGAUGAACAUUUGGAAGCAAUGAGAAUGUAAUUCUAAUCAUACUCUUUUAAUAAUGUUGCAAAACUCUCCAAACACUACUCUGUGUGGAUGUCUUUCAGAAUAUGAUGAAUACUAGUAGUCUUAUUCUGCCCUUUUCUCUCUAUCACAAUAUAUACAUUCUAUAUUGCAUACACAUAUUUUCCAAAUAUUACAUAUAAUUUCAUGUAAUUUAUAGACCUAUUAAGGCCCAACCAUUUUCUUGGAUAGGGGAUUCUUUAGAAGUCCAGCUUAAAUAAAGCCCGUAUAGAAAGUUUUUUUAAAAUUUAUACAUAAUCACCUAAAGUAACCUUAUCUACUGAACUCUUAGUACAUGCUACUGGAACCUUUUAUCAUGUUUCUUCCUGGCUUGCAUUACAACACUGUUGACAUAUCUCAGCCUUACUUCUAGGCUUCUUUGAGAGCAUGACUCAUGUUUGUAUUCCUCACUGAGGUUGAAUGAAUAAGAGAAACUACAGUAGUAGGAAAAAACAGUACAUGUACAUAUCAAUGAAUAUGAAAGGGUCAAAUGGAUCUAUUAUAGUAAGCACAAAAUCAACUGACACCAGCAAAGUAAACCCAAAAUUUUUAAUGGUAUUUUAAUAGAUCAAGAGGAGCAAGCAGAUUUUUGAGACAGUUGUCUCCUACUUUCUCUAUCACAGGGAGUAAUUUUAAAAGAAAAAUGGAGGGUAAGUUUCUUUAAGAGAAAAUUGUAGUUUAAAACAGGUCAUGGGAUAAUUAGAAAUAAUUUAAUUUCUUUAGAGGAUUUUAAUCUUUCAACUGCUUGCAAUUAGAUCCUAAGGCAAUAAAAGAAUAAGGAGAUUUGGAAAACCAUUGUCUGUAAUCUCUGAAGAAAAGUGGACAUUAGGGGAGUCAGUUGAAAAGCAAAGCUAUCACCAUUUUCUAAAGAGGAAAAAGGUGAACCUCACAAACUAUAGACCAAAAAAAUAGGACAUCGAGAGAAAGAAUAUGAAGCUAGCAUAGGUUCACAAAGAAUGAGUCAAAUCAAACAACAUGCAUUUUUUAUUUAUAAAGCAUGACUUGUUCAUUGUCAAUUCAUGUUAGCUUAAUCAUUAGGCAUUAAUGCCAUCACUGCAAUGCAUAUGUCAGCAAUAAAUAAUCAAAGACCAGGCUUCCAUCAUUCUGUUUAAUAUCUUCAAGUAAUGCUUAAGUUUGCAAAUGCUCUUUUAACACAUUCUCCAUAUGCAGCCUGCCCAGCACUGCACACAAUAGACCUGUUACUUCCCCCUCACGAGCACUCCUAAUAUUUCAUGUGCUCAUCCAAUUGACUUCUCCCACUGGUGCCUCAUAUUGAAUUUGUAGAAUCACACCUGCUCCUUUUUCAAAACUCUUCUGAGUUUUUUCUUAAAUAAUUCACUGACCCCAAAGUUGUCAGAUAUUUGAAGACUACUCGCACAAUUUUAAUAUUAUAAAUGUAUAAUGUAAAUGUAAUUAAGAUUUGUAUAAUGUACGAUGUACUUUGGUAAAUAAAAGUAUGCUGUGAAUAAAUACGUAUGAUACAAUUCAAAAUUUUACAUAAAUAUGUGAUAAAAUUUAGCUCAUAUUCUUUUUUUUUUUCUUUGAGACGGAGUCUCACUCUGUUGCACCCAGGCUAGAGUGCAGCAGCAUGAUCUCAGCUCACUGCAACCUCUACCUCCUGGGUUCAAACAAUUCUCCUGCCUCAGCCUCCUGAGUAGCUGGGAUUACAGGUGCCCGCCACCAUGCCCAGCUAAUUUUUUUCUAUUUUUGUUGUUGUUGUUGUUUUUAGUAGAGACGGGGUUUCACCAUGUUGGUCAGGCUGGUCUUGAACUCCUGACCUCAGAUAAUCCACCUGCCUCGGCCUCCCAAAGUUCUGGGAUUACAGACGUGAACCACGGUGCCCGGCCUAGUUCAUGUUCUUUAAGGACAAUUAUGAAUAUUUUUAUGCACUGUUAAUUUUCAUUAAGAUAUUGAUCAAUUAAUAGCUAUAUAUGUUCUAUAAAUUAAUCCUAUCUAGUUUCAAUCUUAAAUUGUUUGCAUAUACCAAUCUAGUUUAUUGUUUGCAUAUAUUUUAUAGUGUAGAGAUUAGGCAUUUUAAUAAAAUUUUAAAAUUUCCAGGACAUACUGUUAAUGACUAUGCUUCCUACUAUAGGCCAUAAUUAAUUUUUUUCUAUUGUCAACAAUAUUUUGGUAGGGAUGAUCAGGAAAUAAGGAAAUGUUUCCUUCAUUUGUUAACAAUAGGUGUUUGGGGAUUUUAAAAUGAAAAUUGAAGAAGUAAAAGACACCAUAUAUUUAGUUUGUUUGAUUUCGUGGCUUCAAGAGUUCAAUAAUUUAUUGAAAUAUUUUACAGACCAAAGAACAACAGAUAUAUUACGUUUAUAAGCCCCCACAUAUUUUAAAGGAUAAUGGUUUAUAUAUGAAAAUUCCCUGAACCUACACUUCAUCAGGAAAAGCUAAAUAAAAGAAGUUUACAUUUCCUAGGACUAAUGGAGAUUUAUUUCCCAGUCCUCUUCUCUGGAGACAAAUGUAGGUCUCUCUUGAAAAGCAGAAAGUUUUGCAUAUGAGGUAUGAUUUAGUGGGCUAGAAACAUCUUUUCCACCCUCCCCAAAAUGUUUCACUAUGUUUUAUCAUACUAUCUGAUAAUUUUGCACUAAAGUUUUCUUUCUGUGUUAAGAAAAUGCAAAUAUCUCUGAAUGGGUCUCUUUGCUUUAGUCAUACUCAUAUGGCUACUACUGAACAAAAUAUGUUCAUUACAGGAUGAAGGGAAUGUUGCCAGCCAGCAAAUCCCUAGAGUUUGCACUACACCAAACGUUGCUUAGCAAUUUCCACGAUUUUCUCAGUCUAAUUUGCAAGAAUCAAGGAGAUGUUUGUGUAUGCUACAUGAAGUUGUAAAAUUGGUAUUUAUUGUAUGUUUCUAUAUCGAAAGCUUUACAAACAAAGGAAAUGGAAAGUUAACAGGUGGAUAUGAUAGUGUGGCACUACUUUAGCUGGAUGGUAAGGGAGAGCUUCUCUUAGGAAGUGUUUUAGGCCAGGACUUGAAUAAUGAACAGUAUCUAGUUGUACAAAAAUCUGGAGGAAAGACUUUUCAGGCCCAGGAGAAAUGAAAAUUCUUUUCAUGCAUACAAGAAUGAAAGUGAAAAUUACCUACUCUAUGUCCUGAAGUGGGAAGUUGGCUUGCCAGAGAGUAGGUAAUUUUCACUUUGAUUCUUUCAUGCCUUCAGUUAUACUACUUCUUAGGUUAGUUCAUAAGGGUUUCCACAAUUUGGUUCCCACUUAAAAUUUAAAACUUCCCUAACCCAUUCCCACCAUAUAUUGUGCUAAUCCAUGCAUAUGUGACUUUGCGUAUGCUGUUUUCAUUGUUUAAUAUUCUUCUCAUGCAUUCGUUCUUUCCUGAUAACGAACUCAUCUUUGAAACUCCCCUUCAAGCAUCCUCUACUUUAGGAGGCCGCUUCUCACUGUCUCCUGCCUACCACCCAUUGAAUUGUUCAAUUUUUAAGCUGCCAUUGUCUUGUGCAGUUGACACAUUUCUUUGCAAUUACUGAUUUACAUGUCUGCUUUUAUCACUGGUGAGGUUCUUUAGGACAGAGACAUUAUUAAUUCAUCUCUGGGCACAUAUGUUCCAACAUAUUAGAAGUACUACAGAGUGCUAUUACUAUGUAGUAUGUAGUAUUAGUAGUAGUUACUCACAAAUCAUUUUUAAAUAAGUGAUUAUAAUAUCUUUUUGUUAUUAUGAUUUAACACAAGAUGGAAUUUAUUUUCAGAAGUUUCCAUGAUAUAUUUGUUCUAUUUAAAAUCCAAUAGCCAUUAGAAUAUUACCAUUAUUUAAUGUAAAACAAUAAAAUAUUAAAUAUGAUCGUUCAUAUUUAAUGCAAACCGAACUCAUGGAAAUAUUGUGUAAAGAUCAAGUAAUUUUUGACAUACAAUUUUAAACUCAACUUUUCAUAUAGCAUACCUUAUGAUAUAUUUUCAGCCUACUUUUAAAUAUGUUGGCAUUGAAAGCCAGUUACUAAUUCGCUGAAUUCAUGAUUUCUUUUUAAGUUAUAGAAGUGGAAUUAUGUUUGAGAUAUUCAUUGCAUUACAUUUACCAGAACUUGAGUUCUUAACAUGGAACCUGAGAGUUUCUCCAAUUCUUAAGUCCCUGGGAGAAAUAGAUUAGCUGGAUGAGGAACUGAGAGGAAAAAUGGUCAGAGAUGUAGCAAGAGUUGGGAAGAAGGAACAAUGAUUUGCUUUCAAGGAGAUUUUUUCAUUGGUCUGUUUUCAGUGACAAACCCACUGCGAUAAUACAUGUAAAGUGAAAACAUUCAGGAAGUUCCCUUAGAAACCUCUUUUCUGGCAGUUCCUAAUUCUACAACAUUGUAUAAGUGAAAUACCAUAGUUACUGUCAUAGUAAAUUGAGCCAAGAGAAACAAGGGAGCAGGAGAAGAAAAGAAUUAAAGAGAGUUUUGUCUUUCAGUCUUCACUCUGUUUCUUCUUGCUUUUACCAGUCAUUCAGGUUUAUAUAAUUUCUUUAGAGAGGCUUCUACUAUGCAGGUCUUCCUUAAAGUCAUUGGUAUUACCUGGCAUGAUAUGUGAGCCUUUAAUAUCAGUCCCUUUAUCUCUUUAUUUUUAAAGUUUAUAUCAGUACAGAGUCCUGGAUUCUUAAUUAAUUUAAUAGGUUAGACUUUAUGCUAAUAUUCUUCAUUUUGAUGCUCAAAUUUUCCAAAAUUUGGCCAGCAGGGUUCCUUAAAGCUGGGUACCUUGCCCUUUCAACAUGUCCCUCUGAUUCUUUAUUUUUAUUUACUUAUUUAUUUAUUUAUUUAUUUAUUUAUUUAUUUAUUUAUUUAGAGACUGAGUCUUGCUCUGUCUCCCAGCCUGGAGUGCAAUGGCACAAUCUUGGCUCACUGCAACCUCUAUCUCCCAGGUUCAAGCAAUUCUCCUCCCUCAGCCUCCCGAGCAACUGGGACUACAGGCAUGUGCAACCAUGCCUGGCUAAUUUUUUUUGUAUUUUUAGUAGAGACAGGCUUUCACCAUGUUGGUCAGGCUGGCCUCGAUCUCCUGACCUCAAAUGAUCCAUCGCCUCGGCCUCCCAAAGUGCUGGGAUUACAGGCGUGAGCUGCCACACCCAGCCGUCCCUCUCAUUCUUUAAGUACUUCCAUGUUUUCUAAGGUACAAGAUGUUCCAUAUUAUUUUGUUAUUUGUCUUCCCCAGCUCUGAAAUCUGCCUUUCCUUCAAGGAGCCUUGGUUCUUUCUAGUGACAAAUUAUAUUUAGAAAGAAGAUCUGGGUAUUUGACUUGUAUAUUGCUAUUAAUUGGCCAUUGUUUCUAGUCUCUUUCAGUAGACAGAGCUAAGAAAUGUAAAAGGAAAUAUUUGAAUGUAUGUAUAUGUGAUAUAUUAAGUACAUUUAAACAUAUUAAAUUCAUGAGUUCAUACUAAUACUUUCAAUAAGCCACAAUUCCCUUUUCAUGUUUUCGAAGGAAAAAUAUCCAUUGUCUAUAUACAGUGGACAUAGAUAGUAAUAAUACUGAUCUUGAAAAGAGCAGUCUUAAAUAGAUCCCAUUAAUAGUUAAAGAUAACAUAUCUUAGAAUUCUAGAUAUUAGAGAGAUUAUCUAGAGCUGUAAUCUAGAUAUUUUAUAGAUCUUUGCUGUGCUGUUUUGAAUUUGUGUUGGAGUAGAACAAUCAGAUGACAAAAGCUCAUCCCACAUGGAAAAAUCAAAGCAUUCAUUACAGAGAGAAUUUUGAAAUAAAUGCAUAUAUAAAAAAUAUAUAUGCAUAUAUAAUGCAUAUGUAUAUGCAUAUAAAAUAUAUAUAUAUAAAAUGAGGGUUAUAAACAAUGAAGGAAAUAGUGAUACUAUCUAUGUGGGAACAAUACUAGUAUCCUCCCUUUGGAUGAAUACAGUAGCUACAGAUGCAAUUCUGGGGACUCUGUUUAGCAAUAGCUUAACUAUUGCUUGGCUACAAGCAUGGAUAACUUGUUCAAAGAUAAUGAGGAGUUGUAAAUAUUUAAAUAAACAGGAUUUGCAACAUAAAAAGCUUUGUGACUAUGUGUCUGAAUUCUUAGAGUUUUCUCCCAGCAAGACCUUGGAUGUGGCAGACUUUUCUGUAAUUGUCCAUCUCGCCCCUAUUUCAUGAAAAGCCAGAGCUUCUCUACUUAGUUUGCUAACCCCAAAUAUAUAAAUUCAAUAGAAGUACUAGCCUGUUUUUACUGGUUUAUUUGCUUUAUCUAAAAAAAACAAGGCAUAGUUUAAAGUCUGUUUUUGAUAGCAUAACAAAACAAAGGUUCUCAUUUUAAUAAUGCAUCACAUAUACACUUGGUAACUAUUGCAUAGUAAUAAUUUAAUAACUUGAGAAAUAUAUUUAUGCAUGUAUGUGUAUAUGUUCAUAUAUAUGUUAUUUUUAAUUCAGAAGUAAAACAAAUAUUGGAAGAGGCCACAGUUAUUAUAAAAAUAAUUUGACCAGUAUUGGACAAUGCAAAUAGCAAUCAUUUAGAAGUUUCU
rnacentral:lncRNA from 1 species